AAGCAUUCGUGAAAUGUCGUGGAUGUAGACAGUAGACAGAUGCAGAUGAGAUCGUUUAGUGAUCGAAAGAGAUAAUCCAGUCUUACUGCACGUGUAUCCAGUCCUCCAUGAAACGGAAAGAAAAUAUGAUUUAAAUAAGAAAGAUGAAUUUAAUUAUAUUUGAUUCGUGUCGAGUGCAGGCGAGUGCAAUACGAAACGAGCGCAAUGAAUCAUCUGCAAUUCCGAUUUCGAAAGUCAGGUAUCUCGCAUGCGGCGAGAGGAACUGAGAGGAAUGAUUGAACUUUUAACUUGCCUUAUCUCGUUUGUCGUCCCGCACGUUACAAAUAAAAUGUUAUGUCGCACGCAGCGGUCGGGUUGCACCAACCGUAUGCUCGGUAUGCUGUUAAUCACAUCUUAGUUAUUUCGCUUUUGUUUUCAGUACGGGCGCGUAUUCGGUGAUGUUUCGCGAAGAAUGGCAAUAAUCAAAAAGAUCUUGCAUGAGAGGAUGUUGUGUGUUGAGGAGACCAGUUGAGAGAUGAUACGCGAACCAUAGAUACAAAAAGUUUGCUUGGUUCUGCAAUUAAAAAAUACAAUAAU
rnacentral:misc_RNA from 1 species